AGCGCAGGCGGUUUCUUAAGUCUGAUGUGAAAGCCUUCGGCUCAACCGAAGAAGUGCAUCGGAAACUGGGAAACUUGAGUGCAGAAGAGGACAGUGGAACUCCAUGUGUAGCGGUGAAAUGCGUAGAUAUAUGGAAGAACACCAGUGGCGAAGGCGGCUUUCUGGACUGUAACUGACGCUGAGGCUCGAAAGCUAGGGUAGCGAACG
rnacentral:rRNA from 1 species